rnacentral:rRNA from 1 species
AGGACGAACGCUGGCGGCGUGCCUAAUACAUGCAAGUCGAACGAGGUCCAUCCAGUGGAAACACCGGAGAAGGCCUAGUGGCGAACGGGUGAGUACCACGUGAGCAACCUGUCCCGAAGACCGGGAUAACACCGGGAAACCGGUGCUAAUACCGGAUACCCCCACCGGAUCGCAUGGUCUGGUGAGGAAAUAGAUUCUGCUUCGGGAGGGGCUCGCGGCCUAUCAGCUAGUUGGUGAGGUAACGGCCCACCAAGGCUUCGACGGGUAGCUGGUCUGAGAGGACGAUCAGCCACACUGGGACUGAGACACGGCCCAGACUCCUACGGGAGGCAGC